rnacentral:rRNA from 1 species
GACGAACGCUGGCGGCAUGCCUAACACAUGCAAGUCGAGCGAGCUGAUCUCUUCGGGGUGAAGCUAGCGGCGGACGGGUGAGUAACACGUGGGCAACCUGCCUCAUAGAGGGGAAUAGCCUCCCGAAAGGGAGAUUAAUACCGCAUAAGAUUGUAGCUUCGCAUGAAGUAGCAAUUAAAGGAGCAAUCCGCUAUGAGAUGGGCCCGCGGCGCAUUAGCUAGUUGGUGAGGUAACGGCUCACCAAGGCGACGAUGCGUAGCCGACCUGAGAGGGUGAUCGGCCACAUUGGGACUGAGACACGGCCCAGACUCCUACGGGAGGCAGCAGUGGGGAAUAUUGCACAAUGGGGGAAACCCUGAUGCAGCAAUGCCGCGUGAGUGAUGACGGCCUUCGGGUUGUAAAGCUCUGUCUUCAGGGACGAUAAUGACGGUAC